rnacentral:rRNA from 1 species
UUUUUGGAGAGUUUGAUCUUGGCUCAGGACGAACGCUGGCGGCGUGCCUAAUACAUGCAAGUCGAGCGCUGGAAACUAAUUUCAUCCCUUCGGGAUGAAAUUAGUGGAAAGAGCGGCGGACGGGUGAGUAACACGUGGGCAACCUACCUGUAAGACUGGGAUAACUCGCGGAAACGUGAGCUAAUACCGGAUAAUACUUUUUAUUGCAUAAUAAGAAGUUUGAAAGACGGCGUAAGCUGUCACUUAUAGAUGGGCCCGCGGCGCAUUAGCUAGUUGGUGAGGUAAAGGCUCACCAAGGCAACGAUGCGUAGCCGACCUGAGAGGGUGAUCGGCCACAC